UACAGAGGGGGCAAGCGUUGUUCGGAAUUACUGGGCGUAAAGGGCGCGUAGGCGGCCCGCUAAGUCGAACGUGAAAUCCCCGAGCUCAACUCGGGAACUGCGUCCGAUACUGGCGGGCUUGAAUCCGGGAGAGGGAUGCGGAAUUCCAGGUGUAGCGGUGAAAUGCGUAGAUAUCUGGAGGAACACCGGUGGCGAAGGCGGCAUCCUGGACCAAUAUUGACGCUGAGGAGCGAAAGCCAGGGGAGCAAACGGG
rnacentral:rRNA from 1 species